rnacentral:rRNA from 1 species
ACCGGCGGCUCGAGUGGUGGCCACUAUUAAUGGGCUUAAAGCGUUCGUAGCUGGCUUGUUAAGUCUCUGGGGAAAUCUUCCGGCUCAACCGGAAGGCGUCUCAGGGAUACUGGCAGGCUAGGGACCGGAAGAGGUGAGAGGUACUCCAGGGACAGCGGUGAACCCGGGUAGUCCCUGGGGGGCGGAAUGGGGGGAGGGCGAGCCACCAUGAUUGCUCCCCCGGGUAGUCAGGUAACCUGCUACCACAAACCG